rnacentral:rRNA from 1 species
CAGUCGAGCGGACAGAAGGGAGCUUGCUCCCGGAUGUUAGCGGCGGACGGGUGAGUAACACGUGGGUAACCUGCCUGUAAGACUGGGAUAACUCCGGGAAACCGGAGCUAAUACCGGAUAGUUCCUUGGACCGCAUGGUUCAAGGAUGAAAGACGGUUUCGGCUGUCACUUACAGAUGGASCCGCGGCGCAUUAGCUAGUUGGUGGGGKAAUGGCUCACCAAGGCGACGAUGCGUAGCCGACCUGAGAGGGUGRUCGGCCACACUGGGACUGAGACACGGCSCAGACUCCUACGGGAGGCAGCAGUAGGGAAUCUUCCGCAAUGGACGAAAGUCUGACGGAGCAACGCCGCGUGAGUGAUGAAGGUUUUCGGAUCGURAAGCUCUGUUGUKAGGGAAGAACAAGUGCGAGAGUAACUGCUCGCACCUUGACGGUACCUAACCAGAAAGCCACGGCUAACUACGKGCCAGCAGCCGCGGUAAUACGUAGGUGGSAAGCGUUGUCCGGAAUUAUUGGGCGUARAGGGCUCGCAGGCGGUUUCUURAGUCUGAUGUGRARGCCCCCGGCUCAACCGGGGAGGGUCAUUGGAAACUGGGAAACUUGAGUGCAGAAGAGGRGAGUGGRAUUCCACGUGUAGCGGUGARAUGCGUAGAGAUGUGGAGGAACACCAGUGGCGAAGGCGACUCUCUGGUCUGUAACUGACGCUGAGGAGCGAAAGCGUGGGGAGCGAACAGGAUUAGAUACCCUGGUAGUCCACGCCGUAACGAUGAGUGCUAAGUGUUAGGGGGUUUCCGCCCCUUAGUGCUGCAGCUAACGCAUUAAGCACUCCGCCUGGG